AUUAACAUGCUUUUAAGAUCGAUAAUCUUAUUGUAUCUAAAUUGUAACGUAGCUUCAUGCCCGUUCAGUAGGUGGCAGUAAUGAAUUUAACUGUUGGUUGCCAACAGCUGUUCAAUUCUAAGACGAAGAAGAAAUACGGAAGUGCUUGUUUCCACAAAAAAGGGCAAAUUGGACGAAAAAGAGGAAAGGUUUAUCACAUUAUGGCGCGCACGACUGUGUUUGUAUGACUGUAGUGCCAAAGGAUACACAAACAGAAUCACGAAAAGGGACGCGUUGGUGUCAAUGGCGUCGGCGCUUGAUACAUCAGAUUCACAUAAGAAAAGAAUGACGUCCAUCAAAUUCCAAAUGAGACAGAAUCCGUGAAGGCGAUGAUGGAAUCGAUAAAGGCGGAAACGGAAAUGCAUACUCGGACAUGUCAGCAGGAAUUGUUUCAGAAGAAGCCGAAAUCGAAUCGACAAGAGGGAUACGCGACUCAGAAAAAAAGAGAAGCUCAAGAAGAAAUGGUGCUGGAUUUUCUCAAAUCAGUUAAGAAGACUCUGGUGAUGGACAAAAAAGAUGAUGAACUUGAAAUCUUUGGUAAAAACAUUGUAUUCACACUGAGGGAGAUUCAAGAUCAAUGGACAUUACUCGUACUGCAGAAUGAUAUUGAGCAGGCAUUUUUUCGUGGCAUUGUGGCAAGUCAGCCAAAUCAAACAGUCACAGUGAACAACAAUAAUCAUGAAGCAUUUUCACACGCGUUACAUCUGUAAUGUUUUUAGUUUUUUGAACUGAAAAGAAAUUUCAUGUCUUCUAAUGUUUUAUCCUGAAAUGUUUUUAAUUGCACACAAUCUAAAUGUUCGAUGUUUCCGUACAGUUUCUUGAAGAAGGAGCAUCCCUAUGAACAUUAUCAUUUUUCUAAGCCAUUAAAUUCUCAGGACAUUGAA